rnacentral:rRNA from 1 species
UACGGAGGGGGCAAGCGUUUGUCCGGAUUUAUUGGGCGUAAAGAGCGUGUAGGCGGUUAGGUAGGUCCGUUGUGAAAACUCGAGGCUCAACCUCGAGACGCCGAUGGAAACCAUCUGACUAGAGUCCGGAAGAGGAGAGUGGAAUUCCUGGUGUAGCGGUGAAAUGCGCAGAUAUCAGGAAGAACACCCGUGGCUAAGGCGGCUCUCUAGUACGGUACUGACGCUGAGACGCGAAAGCGUGGGGAGCGAACAGG